UACCCUAAUUUCCUAAACACAGCCGCCAUCAAAACUAUUGUCAUCGUCUCUACCAAAGAUGCGGUGAUCUCCAGUCUCCCACCGACGGUCCACGGUUGCCAUCGUUUCUCCCAAUCUCUUCCGUCACUUCUCCAUCGCCUCUCUCUCUCUCACACACACACACAUAAAAACCCUAAACGGUGUUGAGGAGUCUUUUUGUUUCUUGACCAGAUGCUGAGCAGUUCUGGAAAUCGCUAUCUCAACCCGUCUUGUUGGCCAAGUCGUCACUCCUGCCGUUUCUACUUCGACCCUAACCAUCACCUGCUUGUGUGUAUCUCUAACGCCUACAAGUUACAUUUUCAUUUGUGGUAAUCGAUCGGAUUUGGCAGUUUAAGGGUUUGAUUUGAAGCUCAACCUGAAAUCGAUCGUCCUUUGUUGUCUGCAUCUCUGCCAUCCCGACGAAGAACAUAGCAAAAGAGACCCACACAUAAGAAAUGUUCAGGUAACUGAAAUAUGAAUGAUUCUUUUUGACGUCCUUACCCCUUGUGCCCUAAUACCAUUCGACACCCACACAUCACAAAUGUUAUAUGGUUCAAACCUCCAGCUACUUCAGUCAUUUCCUCCACCACUCCAUGGAAUUCCUCUGUUAGAUCCACCAAUUCAUUGCCUUCCUCAACAUGGUUUUGGAUAAGGAUGGGAUUUCACUUUAGAACAGCUUCAUGGUGCUCUUUGUUUGCUUCGAAACUCACCAAAUCUGGAAAUCUUGUAUAUAAUGCACAUGAAGGAGACUGGAGUUAAUUUGGGACCAGCUUCAAAUCAUUUGAAAAGCUUGUAUUCACUAAAACUCAGAAGACCAAUGCUAGGACUGGAGGUGAU